rnacentral:rRNA from 1 species
CAGUAGCCACGGUAAUACGAAGGGUGCAAGCGUUAAUCGGAAUUACUGGGCGUAAAGCGUGCGUAGGCGGUUUGUUAAGUCUGUUGUGAGAUCCCCGGGCUCAACCUGGGAAUGGCAAUGGAUACUGGCAAGCUAGAGUGUGUCAGAGGAUGGUAGAAUUCCCGGUGUAGCGGUGAAAUGCGUAGAGAUCGGGAGGAACAUCAGUGGCGAAGGCGGCCAUCUGGGACAACACUGACGCUGAGGCACGAAAGCGUGGGGAGCAAACAGGAUUAGAUACCCCGGUAGUCCCUGUCUCUUAUAC